rnacentral:lncRNA from 10 species
AAUCCCUGCUGGUCAUAGGAAAACACACGGUUCUAAUUAAGUGUGAAGGUAUAGCUAUUGCACUUAUGCCAUCUCCAAAAUUUCUUAAGUAUUCUUUCACUAUCCAUUAGGAGUUUUUCUUAAACUUGUCUGAUAAUAAGAAUCACCUGGAGUUAGGAGGUGGUGGUUGCAGUGAGCCAAUCUCACCAUUGCACUUCAGCCUGAGCAACACGAGCAAAACUCCGUCUCAAAAGUAAAUAAAAAUAAUCACCUGGAGUUUGUUAAACCAUAUGGAUUCUCAAGCUCCUCUCUUGAAGAUUCUGAUUCAGUAGGUCGGGAGUUUGAGACCAGCCUGGCCAACAUGGUGAAACCCUGUCUUUACUAAAAAUACAAAAAUUAGCCAGGCAUGGUGGCGUGUGCCAGUAAUCCCAGCUACUUGGGAGGCUGAGGCGCGAGAAUCGCUUGAACCCUGGAGAUGGAGGUUGCAGUGAGCAGAGAUCGCACCACUGCACUCCAGCCUGGGCAAGAGUGAGACUGUGUCUC